GACGAACGCUGGCGGCGUGCCUAACACAUGCAAGUCGAGCGGGGGGAGUUCUUCGGAACGAACCUAGCGGUGGCCGGGUGAGUAACACGUGGGCAACCUGCCCUGAGGUGGGGGAUAACAGGAAGAAAGUCCUGCCAAUACCGCAUAACCCUGUGCUUUUGCAUGAUGGCAUUGGCAAAGGACCAAGCCGCCUCAAGAUGGGCCCGCGGCGCAUUAGCUAGCUGGUGGGGUAACGGCCUACCAAGGCGACGAUGCGUAGCCGACCUGAGAGGGUGAGCGGCCACAUUGGAACUGAGACACGGGCCAGACUCCUACGGGAGGGAGCAGUGGGGAAUAGUGCACAAUGGGCGAAAGCCUGAUGCAGCAACGCCGCGUGAGCGAUGAAGGCCUUCGGGGUGUAAAGCUCUGUCUUCGCUGACGAAAUCUGACGGUAAGCGAGGAGAAAGCCACGGCUAACUACGUG
rnacentral:rRNA from 1 species